rnacentral:rRNA from 1 species
CGAAAGAUUGAUUCAGUUACUUAUUAAGAUGAUAUAUACAAUAAUAAUAUAUUAAAUAUAUUAAUAUAUAUAUAUAAAUUGAUUAAAAAUAAAGUCUAUAAAUAAUUAAAAUAAUGAUAUUAAUUACAUUCUUUAAUUGAAUGAUAUAAUAUAAAUAAUAUUAUAUUUUAAUAGUCCUAACCAAGAUUUGUGCCAGCAGCUGCGGUAAUACAAUGAGGGCUAGCGUUAAUCAUAAUGGUUUAAAGUAUCCGUAGAAUAAUUUAAUAAAAUUAGAGUUAAUAAAUUUAAUUAAAGAAUUAUGAUAGUAAAGAUGAAAUAAUUAUGAUAAUCAUAAGACUGGUAUGUGUUAAGAUAUUAAUUAAAUAUUAACUGACAUUGAGGGAUGAAAGCUAGAGUAGCAAUAUGGAUUCGAUACCCAAGUAGUUCUAGCUGUAAACUAUGAACACCAUAAUUUAUUAAUUUAUAUAAAUUAUAAACGAAAGUGUAAGUGUUCCACCUGAAGAGUACUUUCGCAAGAAUGAAACUCAAGACAAUAGACGGUUACAGACUUAAGCAGUGGAGCAU